UACGGGGGGGGCAAGCGUUGUUCGGAAUUACUGGGCGUAAAGGGCUCGUAGGCGGCCAACUAAGUCAGACGUGAAAUCCCUCGGCUUAACCGGGGAACUGCGUCUGAUACUGGAUGGCUUGAGUGUGGGAGAGGGAUGCGGAAUUCCAGGUGUAGCGGUGAAAUGCGCAGAUAUCGGGAGGAACACCGGUGGCGAAGGCGGUUCUCUGGGCCUGUACUGACGCUGAGGAGCGAAAGCGUGGGGAGCGAACAGG
rnacentral:rRNA from 1 species